UAUAGCGCGAAAUUUUCGAGGGGCUUAAUUUUCGCGGAUUUCGUGGGUUAGAAUCCUACACAAAAAUUAAGUCCACGAAAAUUGAAUUACCUGCUAUAGCAUGCAUAGAUUUAAAGGCGUGGCUUCCGGUAAGCAGUCAUUCCGCGAACAUUGUGCAACGAAAUAGCUUUUAGAGGCUAAUCCACGAAAUAUAAGUGCCUCGAAAAUUUCGCGCUAUACGGUAGUUGUCUUGCACCUGCACUUGCACUCUCCAUUGAUAGUUACCAGGUUGAAAUUUGCACUACAUUUUGGCCAAAGUGGUGAUACCUAUAGAGGCUAACAAUGAGAAGAAUGGUUUAAAUAUGAUAUUGUAUAUUGAUGGUGCUUCCUUUGGUUAUCUGUGUAGGGACUUUUCUCUCUCUGGUAUAGCUAUCGAAAUAUUGUGUCCAAGCCAAGUGAUGUCACAUGGGAGGUGAUGUGUUAUAACGACACCUCAGCCUCUGUUUCUGACAGAUAUGGAUAAGAUGAACAGCAAACCACCACCCUCAUUCGUAGCUGGUGGUGGUGAGCACAAAGCUCUGAAGGUGGAGUUCAGUUUACCCUCCUCUACGUACGCUACCAUGGCUCUCAGAGAAGUACUAAAAAUGGACACUUCCGCAGCUUUUCAGACUACACUCAAUUAGUAACGAACUGUGUGUUAUAUACGCACUAGAAAACAACCUCAUAUUCAUGUUCACCCAUUCCAUUUCUUAUUGGACUCU